rnacentral:rRNA from 1 species
UUUUAGUAGGGAAGAAGCGAAAGUGACGGUACCUGCAGAAAAAGCACCGGGCUAACUACGUGCCAGCAGCCGCGGUAAUACGUAGGGUGCAAGCGUUGUCCGGAAUUAUUGGGCGUAAAGAGCUCGUAGGCGGCUUGUCGCGUCUGCUGUGAAAUCCCGGGGCUCAACCCCGGGCCUGCAGUGGGUACGGGCAAGCUAGAGUGCGGUAGGGGAGAUUGGAAUUCCUGGUGUAGCGGUGGAAUGCGCAGAUAUCAGGAGGAACACCGAUGGCGAAGGCAGAUCUCUGGGCCGCUACUGACGCUGAGGAGCGAAAGCAUGGGGAGCGAACAGGAUUAGAUACCCUGGUAGUCCAUGCCGUAAACGUUGGGAACUAGAUGUAGGGCCUGUUCCACGGGUUCUGUGUCGUAGCUAACGCAUUAAGUUCCCCGCCUGGGGAGUACGGCCGCAAGGCUAAAACUCAAAGGAAUUGACGGGGGCCCGCACAAGCGGCGGAGCAUGCGGAUUAAUUCGAUGCAACGCGAAGAACCUUACCAAGGCUUGACAUAUACGAGAACGGGCUAGAAAUAGUCAACUCUUUGGACACUCGUAUACAGGUGGUGCAUGGUUGUCGUCAGCUCGUGUCGUGAGAUGUUCGGUUAAGUCCGGCAACGAGCGCAACCCUCGUCCUAUGUUGCCAGCACGUUAUGGUGGGAACUCAUGGGAUACUGCCGUGGUCAACACGGAGGAAGGUGGGGAUGACGUCAAAUCAUCAUGCCCCUUAUGUCUUGGGCUUCACGCAUGCUACAAUGGCCGAUACAAUGGGCUGCGAUACCGCGAGGUGGAGCGAAUCCCAAAAAGUCGGUCUCAGUUCGGAUUGGGGUCUGCAACUCGACCCCAUGAAGUCGGAGUCGCUAGUAAUCGCAGAUCAGCAACGCUGCGGUGAAUACGUUCCCGGGCCUUGCACUCACCGCCCG